rnacentral:rRNA from 1 species
AGAGCGAACGCUGGCGGCAGGCUUAACACAUGCAAGUCGAGCGGGCGUAGCAAUACGUCAGCGGCAGACGGGUGAGUAACGCGUGGGAACGUACCUUUUGGUUCGGAACAACACAGGGAAACUUGUGCUAAUACCGGAUAAGCCCUUACGGGGAAAGAUUUAUCGCCGAAAGAUCGGCCCGCGUCUGAUUAGCUAGUUGGUGAGGUAACGGCUCACCAAGGCGACGAUCAGUAGCUGGUCUGAGAGGAUGAUCAGCCACAUUGGGACUGAGACACGGCCCAAACUCCUACGGGAGGCAGCAGUGGGGAAUAUUGGACAAUGGGCGCAAGCCUGAUCCAGCCAUGCCGCGUGAGUGAUGAAGGCCCUAGGGUUGUAAAGCUCUUUUGUGCGGGAAGAUAAUGACGGUACCGCAAGAAUAAGCCCCGGCUAACUUCGUGCCAGCAGCCCGC